rnacentral:rRNA from 1 species
AGCUCCAAUAGCGUAUAUUAAAGUUGUUGCGGUAAAAAAGCUCGUAGUUGGAUUUCUAUCGAGAACGACCGGUCCACUCAACGAGUGCGUAUCUGGUUCGGUCUUGGUAUCCUGUUAGCAUUUUGCUCUGCGCUUGAUUGCGUGGACAAACGGCUAGCACUUUUACUUUGAGGAAAUUAGAGUGUUCACGGCAGGCUAUCGCCAGAAUACAUUAGCAUGGAAUAAUACUAUAGGAUCUUGAUCCUAUUUUGUUGGUUUCUAGGAACAAGAUAAUGAUUAAUAGGGACAAUUGGGGGCAUUCGUAUCAACACGUCAGAGGUGGAAUUCUUGGAUUGUGUUGCGACGAACUACUGCGAAAGCAUUUGCCAAGGAUGUUUUCAUUAAUCAAGAACGAAAGUAGACG